rnacentral:rRNA from 1 species
UACAGAGGUCUCAAGCGUUGUUCGGAUUCAUUGGGCGUAAAGGGUGCGUAGGCGGCGCGGUAAGUCGGGUGUGAAAUCUCGGAGCUUAACUCCGAAAUUGCAUUCGAUACUGCCGUGCUUGAGGACUGGAGAGGAGACUGGAAUUUACGGUGUAGCGGUGAAAUGCGUAGAUAUCGUAAGGAAGACCGGUGGCGAAGGCGGGUCUCUGGACAGUUCCUGACGCUGAGGCACGAAGGCCAGGGGAGCAAACGGG